UGCGUAGGGGGCUAGCGUUGUCCGGAAUCAUUGGGCGUAAAGAGCGUGUAGGCGGUCCGGUAAGUCCGCUGUGAAAGUCGGGGGCUCAACCCUCGAAUGCCGGUGGAUACUGUCGGGCUAGAGUACGGAAGAGGCGAGUGGAAUUCCUGGUGUAGCGGUGAAAUGCGCAGAUAUCAGGAGGAACACCUAUUGCGAAGGCAGCUCGCUGGGACGUAACUGACGCUGAGACGCGAAAGCGUGGGGAGCAAACAGG
rnacentral:rRNA from 1 species